GGAUGAUUACUUCGAUAUGCUGAGAUUGUUUUCGGAAUCGAAAUUAGAAGACAAGCAUCAAGCGUUUAUUCCAACAGGAUGGGACCCCUGUCAUUGGGUUACGCAUGUAUACGUGUUCCUUGAUGAAACAUUCGCAGAUCGUUAGAUUGGUAGGAGGUGAACCAAUUUCAUGGUCACUACAUUCUCCGCUCACACGAUUCGAUCUAUUUAUUGUUACAGCACUUGAUUUAUUUUUCAGGAUAUCUUUAUGCUGCAGAGAUUAGCGGCUUCGAAGAAUUAAAAAGUCGAAUCACUACAGAAACAGCUACUGUGACUGCGCAAAUACUUAAUAACCUCUGGAAGGAAAUCAAGAACAGACUUUAUAUUCUCCGAACAACUGAUGAUGCUCAUGUUGAAGUGUAUUAAUAUAAAAUUCUUUGAAUUGCUAAAUAAAAUUCGGAGACUUGUAAAAUGAAAAGUGCCUUCGCGAAGCCUCGAAUCUUGGAGCUCUUGAUACCCGCCGAGUGGGCUACCAUUACACCACGAAGGCAUGCUAAAAAUCUCUGGAAGGAACCAGAUUUCAACUAAAGAAACUCCUGUUUAGAUGCAGUACAGAUGA